rnacentral:rRNA from 1 species
UGCCUCCUACGGGAGGCAGCAGUGAGGAAUAUUGGUCAAUGGACGAGAGUCUGAACCAGCCAAGUAGCGUGAAGGAUGACUGCCCUAUGGGUUGUAAACUUCUUUUAUAUGGGAAUAAAACGUUCCACGUGUGGGAUUUUGUAUGUACCAUAUGAAUAAGGAUCGGCUAACUCCGUGCCAGCAGCCGCGGUAAUACGGAGGAUUCGAGCGUUAUCCGGAUUUAUUGGGUUU